AUGUGUUAUUCGCCUCCACCACCAACGCACUCAUUUUGGACUCCUCCUCUGUUGCUGCUGUUGCUGUUGGUUCUGCUACUAUUGCCGUGCACUCGGAUUCUUUGCAAAAUGCAGGCUGCAUAUCGCAUGGAGCAGACCCCAGAGACUGACAUAGGUAUGUCUACAGAAAAUAGACCAUGCUAUGCAGAUGUAGAUGCUCCCCCGCGCCGGAAAAAGCGUGAGGGAUGUCUUUCUAGAGAGCCUGCUGUAGAGCUAGAGCUGGAGGGUGUUUAUGGGUUCAUGGGUACGUGUAUAAUGUUAAAUACCAUGAUGGCACGGUCACGAUGAUUUCUAGAAUCAAGGCCCAAGACAAGCUAGUAGGGGGUGUUGGUGAAACAGUUGAUGAUGAGGCUGCUGUGGGGGGUCGACAUGGGUGUAUGUCUGUAAAAGACUGGCAGCAGUUUUGAUCAAUUGUCUGCAUA
ensembl:lncRNA